rnacentral:rRNA from 1 species
CCUACGGGAGGCUGCAGUGGGGGAUAUUGCACAAUGGGGGAAACCCUGAUGCAGCGACGCCGCGUGAGUGAAGAAGCAUCUCGGUACGUAAAGCCCUAUCAGCAGGGAAGAAAAUGACGGUACCUGACUAAGAAGCCCCGGCUAACUACGUGCCAGCAGCCGCGGUAAUACGUAGGGGGCAAGCGUUAUCCGGAUUUACUGGGUGUAAAGGGAGCGUAGACGGCGCUGCAAGUCCGGAGUGAAAGCCCAUGGCUGAACCAUGGUACUGCUCUGGAAACUGUAGGGCUGGAGUGCGGGAGGGACAGGCGGAAUUCCUGGUGUAGCGGUGAAAUGCGUAGAUAUUAGGAGGAACACCGGCGGCGAAGGCGGCCUGCUGGACCGUAACUGACGUUGAGGCUCGAAAGCGUGGGGAGCAAACAGGAUUAGAUACCCGAGUAGUC